rnacentral:tRNA from 1 species
AUUUAUAUAAUAUAUAUAGUAUAUUUAACUUCCAAUUAAAAAGAUUAAAAUAAUUAAUAUAAAUA